GUUUCACCAUGUUAGCCAGGCUGAUGUGGAACUCCUGACACCUCAGGUGAUCCACCCACCUCUGCCUCCCAAAAUGCGUGAGUCACCAUGCAUGACCUGAGUUAUUUCUUGAUUAUAUGCUAAACAAGAGGUGAAUUAUUCAUGAGUUUUCCAGGAAAGGGGUGGGCAAUUCCCAGAGCUGUGAGUUUCUCCUCUUUUUAGAACCUAUAGGGUAACUUUCUGAUGUUGCCAUGGCAUUUGUAAACUGUUGUGGAGGGAGCGUCUGUUAGCAUGCUAAUGCAUUAUAAUUAGCAUAUAAUGAGCAGUGAGGAUGACCAGAGGUCACUUUCGUCACCAUCUUGGUUUUGGUGGGUUUUGUCUGGCUUCUUUACCACAACCUCUUUUAUCAGCAGGGCCUUUGUGACUUUUACCUUAUGCCAACCUAUCUCAUCCUGUGACUAAGAAUGCCUAAUCUCCUGGGAAUGCAGCCCAGUAGGUCUCAGCCUUAUUUUACCCAGCCUCUCUUCAAGAUGGAGUCACUGUGGUUCAAACACCUCUGACAUCAUGAGCCAGCAACCGUGGAUGGAAACCAAUAUAUAUCAUUAUAAGACCACAAAAUUACUGAUAAUUUUCCUGAGGAAUGAAAGCCUGGCUGUAUGUUGCUGAUCUUCACAGGCAUGGGACAAAGAAUAGACAGAACUCAGAGUCAUCCCUCUGUUCACCUGAGCUACCUCCUUCUCACAUGUAAGUUAUGUUUUUAGUAAAAGGUUGAUCAAAACCCCAAAAGAAUGCAACCUUUUGUCUCUUAUUUACCUAUGACCUGGAAGCCCCCACUUUGAGUUAUCCUGCCUUUCCAGACCCAACCAAUGUACAUCUUACAUAUGUUGAUUGAUGUCUUAUGUCUCCCUAAAAUGUGUAAAACCAAGCUGUGCCUUAACCACUUUGGGCACAUGUCCUCCAGACCUUCUCAGGCUGUGUCAUGUGUUAUUUGGCAAAACAAAAACUUUUUAAAUUAAUUGAGACCUUUCUCAGAUACUUUUGGGUUUACGAUGCUUACUUUUUUAUUGGUAGCUACUAUGGACCAGGCAUGAUGGUGCUGGGGAAACAUUGCCAAAGUUCCUGCUUUCAAGUUGUCUGUAGUCCAACAGAGAAAUGUAUAUGGAAAUCAUGCUGAGGAGGCCUCAGCAUCCCUAGGAGUCUUUAAGAGUCAAGGAAGGAUUCUUUAAAAAAAAAAUUUUUUUUUGGUGGGGGAAGACAAAUGAGGACUGCAGUAUCAUAUGAGACUUUAAGGGAAAGAAAAGGAUGGGGAGGUUAAAUGGGAGACUUGGUAAAAUGGGGUAUUGUAGACACAAGGGAGGGGAGGAGAAGAGUGACUGAGAUGGAUGAGAGGUAAUCAAAAAGAAACCAAAGAUAGGAAAAACCGGGUAUUGUAAGAAAACAGUGAAGUUAGCUCCCAUUGCCAAAAGAUAAUAGGUUGUUCUGCUUCUGAGGAGGUGGCCUUAUCUGUCACGGUUUGUGCCAGUCAAGGGCAUGUCCUGGGUGCAGGCAAGCUACAGUGAUGCUGAGAGGAAAGGAACCACUGGGGGUGCCGCACAAUAAUAGCUAAAUAGAGUGGAAUAGAAAUAGAAAGGAAGGAACUUUUCAAAAAAAGCCUGAGAAAACUAUAGGUGUUAAGUUUGGAAUUGCAGGAAACAAGGACAUAUCAAGAGUUUCAACCCGCAGAAGCAGAGCAACUGUCCAUCACUCAAUUUCUAGAGCUCUGAGGGAAAUCUGGAAAACCUAAAGCCCAAGAACAGUUAUUUCUACAGGACUGGGGUAUGUAUGGACAAGUUUCUAGUUCCGCACAUUAGGGAAGAAGAACACAUUUGCAACAAGUACUUUGCUAAAUGAAAAUCCAGAGGAUGAUGGAGAAACCAUCUCAGUUCCAAUGUUCAUGUGGGAAGGGGUAGGGGGUAGACCCCAGGCUUGACAGGAAUUUAAGGAAAAGUUUUUUGGAUCUUUUAUCUUGUUCUUUAGGGAAGAGCACUAUUAGCAGUUUAGACCGAGACUUUUCUCCACUAGUUAGGCAAAACUGCCUAAGGUGAAGAGACAGAGGCAGCAAUGGGCCAGGGAGGGUGGCAAGCCAGGGGCCACAGUUUUAAAGAGCAAAACAUGGAUCAUGUUCCAAGUCCAUGCUGUGGAAAAGAGAGUUAUCUUCCAGGCUCAACUUGAGCUCGCAGAGGACCAGCUCAAAAUCUUCUCGGGAAUUGAAAGCUGUGCCUUUGGGAACAGGGGACAGACAACUUCUGAGGACAACCUUGGAGUCUGGGGUCUUAGACCCUGAGACAGCCCUGGUCCUAAAGGCAGGGCCUGCUGCAACAAAAAGAGGAAACAAGGGGUCAGAGAGCCUUUGUACCUGCCCUUUACAAGACACCCGACAUUCAGAGGGGGAGGCUGGGUUGCCCAAGGUACUAUGGUACUAUGGUGAGUUUACGGUAGGUCUUCACUAUCCAGAUGCCCUUGAUUUGCUGGAAGAGGAUGAAGCCAAAAUAAAACAAUAAACCAGCAAAACUAGGAAAAAGGCACAUUCUUUUGUUUGUUU